UACACUCCUGCGGGAGGCAGCAGUGAGGAAUAUUGGACAAUGGGUGGAAGCCUGAUCCAGCCAUCCCGCGUGCAGGAAGACGGCCCUAUGGGUUGUAAACUGCUUUUAUCUGGGGAUAAACCUACUUACGUGUAAGUAGCUGAAGGUACCAGAAGAAUAAGCACCGGCUAACUCCGUGCCAGCAGCCGCGGUAAUACGGAGGGUGCAAGCGUUAUCCGGAUUUAUUGGGUUUAAAGGGUCCGUAGGCGGACUGAUAAGUCAGUGGUGAAAUCCGACAGCUUAACUGUCGAACUGCCAUUGAUACUGUUAGUCUUGAGUAAGGUUGAAGUGGCUGGAAUAAGUAGUGUAGCGGUGAAAUGCAUAGAUAUUACUUAGAACACCAAUUGCGAAGGCAGGUCACUAAGUCUUAACUGACGCUGAUGGACGAAAGCGUGGGGAGCGAACAGGAUUAGAGACCCGGGUAGUCCCA
rnacentral:rRNA from 1 species